rnacentral:hammerhead_ribozyme from 1 species
AGUUAGCUGACGAGUCCCAAAAAGGACGAAAUGCCCUUUAUCCUGGAU